UGGAUAUUGCAGCUCAACAACGCGCUCUUUUUAACUUGGAUCCAAUGAUCAGGAAGUUAACUUCUUACACUGAUAUGAAAUAUAUUGGGAUUAAGGAUUGUACAAUAGACGAGAAAAGAAGUCAUUUUUUUCAAGACUGUCAAGCUGGAAACGUUUCAUUGGUAUUUACAUGCUACGGGAUAACAAUAACAUUUUUGGAAGAUCAACAAAAUAGAAACCUCUAUUUCAUAAAAUUUGCUCAUUUUGAUCAACUAACAAACAAAGUAUCCUUCUAAUGUCAAUUUUUUAGAUGAAUCUGAAAUCUCGUUGCAUUUUUAAUGGAGUUAGCGUCAUAUGUAUUGCAAGCAUUAAUGUUGAUAAUCUUA